UCGUUGGUCGGCCAAGGCUGGCGCAAGCCGAGGCGACCGGUCGGGGCUUCAGGCUAGUCUGCUCCCGGGAUGAUCAUCGGGUUAGCCUGGCAUCCGAGGGCCGAGCCUCGGGACAUUCCGCUCGUUGGUCGGCCAAGGCUGGCGCAAGCCGAGGCGACCGGUCGGGGCUUCAGGCUAGUCUGCUCCCGGGAUGAUCAUCGGGUUAGCCUGGCAUCCGAGGGCCGAGCCUCGGGACAUUCCGCUCGCUGGUCGUGCGCUUGUCGCUCGCUGCCCGACGGGAUUUCUCCGUGGCCAGCCGCGAUCAUGUUUCUCCUUUUCUCUAAGCGUUGCCUGGGGGAACACGAGAAGGGCAUUAAAUGCUAAUUAAUGCGUUACCUGGAAAAUCGGAUCGCCAGCUGCUGCUUGCGAGGAGUGUUAGUUGAGCGGCCGCGAUACGCGGGUUCUUCGAGGAGGAUACGGCCUGGGCGCGAGCGGAGAUAUGUGGACCUAGGGGUACAUGACACCCGGAUUGUCCUGCACAAAGAAUGCGGUUUAAGGAGAAUGACGCUUAGGAAAUCGCGGGGAGAUACGCCUCAGCAGCCGGAACGGCUCCGG
rnacentral:lncRNA from 1 species